GCUUUGUUUUUUUCUUCUCUAUUUUGUUUUCCAUGGAAUUCAAGGUUGGGUGAGUAAAGAAAGGAAUCUGAUAAACUCGAGCAGGCCUGGAACUUUUCCCAGAGCCCGUGGGGCAGAGAACCAAAUUGUACAGACACACCCUCUCGGCCAGAGCGUUCUUUUAAAACAGCCACUCCGGCCGGCUCAGUUCCUGUCUGUACCUCUGGGAAAGGCCGGCCCUGCCGUCAGAGUGGAAAUAGAGGGCUUCACUCCCCUGCCUUCCCUUGAGCCGAGCAUGCAGGAGACGCAGAGCAGAGAGAGGUCAGGCAGCCUGCCCGAGGUCACACAGCAGGGAAGAGGGUGCUCUGUGUGGUACAAAGGAAAUCCUGCCAGACCACAGAGCACCCAUGACCAGCCUGCUGGAGCGGCUCUUGGAAGAGAAGUCGCUUUGGAAUCAAAGGUCAUGAGCCAAGGACUACUCCCCAGGGGCUGGAGGGAGACGCCCUCAUUCCUCCCCAGACCCAGACGGUGAACGCGUCUCUCCUAUUCUCUGGCCGCCGGUGACCUGAGGUGCCAACUUCACGCACAGACCUGGCAGCUCCGAGGGGCCCAGCAAACUCUGUCCCGGGAGACCUCAGCUCGUGAGCCAAACGAGAGGCUCCAUGACACGUUGUGUUAUUGUUUUGUUCCCAGACCAACAAAGAAAAGCUCGGUGGGCAGCGCCAGCUGACUCAUCUGGUAAAGGAGAACUUUGAGGCCGGGAAGCUUCCAGAUAGAGGCCGCGCGCUGGCUCAAGCAGCCCUGGGCACCUGCAGGCCUCUCCAGCCAAGGGCCAGGCCACCGUCACCAAUCGGCAGCUGUCCCAGGGGCAGAGACACAGCCCGGAUGGCUGCAGGGAACGACGGGCCAGCACGGCCCCACCGCCGGCACCGAGCCUCGCUGGCCCUGCUUCAUCUUCGUGGGCACGACGCCGCCUCGUGCACAGCGGUCUGGGGAGGACACCGCCAUGCCUCCCAAGAUCUGGACCAGCCCGGCCUGGGGUCUCUUCCAAGGACACCCGUGUCCCUCCAGCCGACGUGGCAGCUGUGAACGGAGCAGCUGUGCGGGUGUCCUGGCCGGGCCUGGCCCCCUCCCCCCAGCCCUAGCGCCGGGCCAGGGGCUCAGGGAGGUGCCUGACGACCGCCCCCACCUGGCCCAGGGCCUUGCCACGUAGGAGGAGAGAGAGGCCCGUUGGUUAUGCCGUCGAAAACACUGGCGGGAAGUCACAUUUCCCUUUUGUGGAGGCAGCUGAGAGGCCUGGCCUGAGCUCCGGGGUCUCCAGGGCUUAUGCCCAAGAGACAGGGGCUGGUGACUGGCCUCCCCUACCCUCCAGCUUAUGGGGAGCUCGGGAGCUUCCCAAAGAGCUCAGCCCCACCCUCCCCCACACCCGGGGGGCUCCCGGGUGCCUCCAAAAAAGCCCCAGCCCCUCCCCACCAGCUCCGGGGCCCUGAGGGUCUGGCCUCCUGCCCCUCUUAUCCUCAGGCCACCGGGCUCCCCGACGCUCUCACGUGCUGACCCUCGCUGGACAUGCCCGGCGUUCGCCCCCUCGCUGCCCUUCUUCACUCUCCGAGUCUUGGCUGAAGUGUUUCCUUCCGGGUGAAACGUCCCUUCAGCCACGCAGUCUGCGUCGGCUCCUCUCUUCCCAACCUCAUCAUUUCCUGUUCCCUCGUUUUCCCUCAUGUCCUGACCACAUGAGCAUCUGUAUGCGCUCGUUUGUGAGUUCACCUGUUUACGGUGUCUUGCCCUCAUAUAGGCCGUGCGUUCCCCCAGGGCGUGGAUUAUUCUUUCUUAUCCACCUGCUCAGGCGCAGUGUGUAGUUUCUGGCAUGUCGAAGAGGCCUGCGUCAGUCAGGAUAAAUUCGGUUAUGCCGCAGCGACACAUAUCCCCAGACUGUACGUAAGGACUUAAAGCAACCCUCAGGGGUUCAGGCCAGUAGGACCACCCACCUUGACUUUCUGCUUUCCAUAGCAGAAAGAAGGAACUAUGGGGAAUCACACACCGGAGUUUAAAGUUUUUACCCAGAAGUGACCUACUUCCCUCCGUUUCAUUGACCAAAGCAGCUCACCCAGCCCUGAAGAGUCAGAAGGAAACAGAAGCAAAACAUUUCGGAAGAGCCCCAAGGUCAACAGCCAAAACGGUCAUAGUUGUCCAGGUCUUCUGCAUUCAUGACCCUGUACACAGAGAUUCUGUAGCUCUACCUUCAAGAAAUGGUGGAAUCCAUUUCUGCCUCCUGGAGUCUUGGUUGGCCAUGACUCGCUAUGACAAACACAAUGUGGAGGAGGUGAUGCCGCGGCAUCUACAACCUAGGCUCAGAGGCCUUGCGCCAUCCCACCCGUUCUCUUAGAACCUGGGUCGGCCUUCUGGAAAACGAGACCUGUGGCCCAGUCAUACACCAGCAAGCCAACUGGUGGACAUAGGAGGGAGGUCUUGUAAUAUCAGCCAGCCCCCGGCGAAUCUGCCAGAAAGCCCAGCCAACUUCAGCUGACCCUUGACCAGAUGAUCACUGCUUCCCCCUGCCCCAGUGGCUUGUGAGAAAUAAUGAAUGCUUGCUGUUCCAACCCACCAGUUUGGGGGCAGUUUGUUACACAGCAACAGCAGACUGCUAUCAACCCUAAUGACAAUAGGGUGCUUUGUUAAAUACUCGUUGAAUGAAAGACGGAGAGCAGAGCAGAUUCUUUCCCUCUCUUGCUUUCUCUACCAAAGCCCAGGCUGGGCUUCCAGGAACUAGGAAUCCUGACUUAAAACAUAAAGCCUCGGGGUGCCUGGGUGGCUCCGUCAGUUAAGCAUCCGACUUCGGCUCAGGUCACGAUCUCACGGUUCGUGAGUUUGAGCCCCGCAUCGGGCUCCAUGCCGACAGCUUGGAGCCCGGAGUCUGCUUCGGAUUCUGUGCCUCCCUCUGUCUCUGCCCCACCCCUGCUUGCGCUCCGUCUCUCAAAAAUGAAUAAACGUUAAAAAUUUUGUGUCAAUGUAAA